AUACAGGGAGUAUCAGGUAAUACCAUGGCUAUAUACAGGGAGGUAAUAACAUGACUAUAUACAGGGAGGUAAUAACAUGACUAUAUACAGGGAGGUAAUAACAUGGCUAUAUACAGGGAGGUAAUAACAUGGUUAUAUACAGGGAGUACCAGGUAAUACCAUGGUUAUAUACAGGGAGUACCAGGUAAUAACAUGGUUAUA